rnacentral:misc_RNA from 1 species
GAUGAAGAACGUAGCGAAAUGCGAUAAGUAAUGUGAAUUGCAGAAUUCAGUGAAUCAUCGAAUCUUUGAACGCACAUUGCGCCCUAUGGUAUUCCGUAGGGCAAGCCUGUUCGAGCGUCAUUACACACCUCAAGCUCUGCUUGGUAUUGGGCGUCGUCCCCUAAACGGGACGUGCCUCAAAGACCUCGGCGGUGGCGUCUUUGCCUCAAGCGUAGUAAUCUUUUUAUCUCGCUUUGGAGUCGAAGGCGUCGCCCGCCGGACGAAACCUUUAUUUUUCUAUCAAGGUUGACCUCGGAUCAGGUAGGGAUACCCGCUGAACUUAAGCAUAUCAAUAAGCGGAGGA